rnacentral:rRNA from 1 species
UAUCUCUGUAGAGUCUGCAUAUCAAUAAGCGGAGGAAAAGAAACUAACAAGGAUUCCCCUAGUAACGGCGAGUGAAGCGGGAAGAGCUCAAAUUUGAAAUCUUCAAGGUUUGACCUUGACGAAUUGUAGUUUAAAGAAGUGUUUUCGGUUAGAGGAGUAGUAAAAGUUCUUUGGAAUAGGACAUCAUAGAGGGUGAGAAUCCCGUAUUUGACUAUUCUUUCUAGCUUUGUGAUACACUUUCAAAGAGUCGGAUUGUUUGGGAAUGCAGUCCAAAAUGGGUGGUAAAUUUCAUCUAAAGCUAAAUAUUGGCGAGAGACCGAUAGCGAACAAGUACCGUGAGGGAAAGAUGAAAAGAACUUUGAAAAGAGAGUUAAACAGUACGUGAAAUUGUCAAAAGGGAAGCGUUUGACACCAGUGUUGUUUUUCCGAAAAUCAAUUAAAAAUUGAUUCAUGCCAGGUUGUAUUGACCUUAUCAGCUUGCAAUUUGGUUUUGGGUCUCUUUUUGAUGCACUUUUCGGUUAACAAGUCAACAUCAAUUUCCUUUGCUGUAAAAAGGUAAGAGGAAGGUGGCUUCAAUUUCGGUUGAAGUGUUUAUAGCCUUUUAUCUCUGCAGUCGGGGAGAUUGAGGUCUGCAGCGUAGAUCCUUCGGGACUAGAUACAUUUAUGCUAAGUUAUAGCUUUUCAUAGACAACUUGUUGACUAUGUUUAGUCAUGUAGCUUACUCGUAAGUGCUAUUUUACCUACGCUUAGGAUGUUGAGCGCAUGUCUCUCUCU